UACGAAGGGGGCUAGCGUUGCUCGGAAUCACUGGGCGUAAAGCGCACGUAGGCGGAUUGUUAAGUCAGGGGUGAAAUCCUGGAGCUCAACUCCAGAACUGCCUUUGAUACUGGCGAUCUCGAGUCCGGGAGAGGUGAGUGGAACUGCGAGUGUAGAGGUGAAAUUCGUAGAUAUUCGCAAGAACACCAGUGGCGAAGGCGGGUUGCUGGGCUGACACUGACGCUGAUGCGCGAAAGCCAGGGGAGCGAACGGG
rnacentral:rRNA from 1 species